rnacentral:misc_RNA from 1 species
AAGUCGUAACAAGGUUUCCGUAGGUGAACCUGCGGAAGGAUCAUUAAACGUUUUCCAACGUACCAACCACGUGAACUCGUUUUCGAGUGUCUGCGGUCGGCUUUGAGGGCGUCAAAGUAUGGUGGGCAUCCGCGGGCCGCAAGGCUCGAGGCUCUGCUGUUUGACGUUCUGCAUCGUCUUCGGACGAGACAAGCCGCGCCUCAGCAACCAUUUACUUUAUAAUUAUUUUUUAAAACGCAUUGUACCACUCGUACUAACACUUUGUGAAGUCGGCAGAGCGCGCUUGCGUGCACUCCGAUGAACUAAAGACAUUAAUUGCUGAACAACUCUUAGCAACGGAUAUCUUGGUUCUC